rnacentral:tRNA from 1 species
GCCACUAUAGCUCAGUUGGUAGAGCGGCGCAUUCGUAAUGCGUAGGUCAGCGGUUCAAGUCCGCUUAGUGGCUC